GACGAACGCUGGCGGCGUGCUUAACACAUGCAAGUCGAACGGUGAAGCGCUUUCCUUUUUGGUUGGUGUGGAUGAGUGGCGAACGGGUGAGUAACACGUGAGUAACCUGCCCCCUUCUUCUGGAUAACCGCAUGAAAGUGUGGCUAAUACGGGAUAUUCUGCGCCUGCUGCAUGGUGGGUGUGGGAAAGAUUGUGCCUUUGGGUGUUUUCUGUGGGGGAUGGGCUCGCGGCCUAUCAGCUUGUUGGUGGGGUGAUGGCCUACCAAGGCGGUGACGGGUAGCCGGCCUGAGAGGGUGGACGGUCACACUGGGACUGAGACACGGCCCAGACUCCUACGGGAGGCAGCAGUGGGGAAUAUUGCACAAUGGGCGCAAGCCUGAUGCAGCGACGCCGCGUGAGGGAUGGAGGCCUUCGGGUUGUGAACCUCUUUCGCCAGUGAAGCAGGCCUGCUCCUUGUGGGUGGGUUGACGGUAGCUGGAUAAGAAGCGCCGGCUAACUACGUG
rnacentral:rRNA from 1 species